GCGUCAGUAGUUUAGUGGUUAGAAUUCUGGCCUUCCAAGUCAGAAACCGGGGUUCGAAUCCCCGCUGACGCA
rnacentral:tRNA from 1 species